GUCCCCUUCUCCUUGUGCCCUCCAUCUUUCCCAACAUCUGGGUCUUUUCCAGGGAGUCUUCUCUUCUCAUGAGGUGGCCAAAGUAUUGGAGCCUCAGCUUCAGGAUCUGUCCUUCCAGUGAGCACUCAGGGCUGAUUUCCUUCAGAAUGGAGAGGUUUGAUCUUCUUGCAGACCAUGGGACUCUCAAGAGUCUCCUCCAGCACCACAAUUCAAAAGCAUCAAUUCUUUGGCGAUCAGCCUUCUUUAUGGCUCACUUCCAUACAUCCCUACUGGGAAAACCAUAGCUUUAACUAUACGGACCUUUGUUAGCAAGGUGAUGUCUCUGCUUUUUAAGAUGCUGUCUAGGUUUGUCAUUGCUUUUCUUCGAAGAAGCAGGCGUCUUUUAAUUUCGUGGCUGCUGUCACCAUCUGCAGUGAUCAUGGAGUCCAAGAAAGUAAAAUCUCUCACUCCCUCCAUUUCUUCCCCUUCUAUUUGCCAGGAGGUGAUGGGCCCUUGUCACAUACUUUUCUUAAUUUCAAUUCAAUACUUGAAACAUUUAAACAUUUUAUCAUUAAUCCCCACCACUUCUUCAUUCCCCAUCAGCUGUACAUAUCCUGAUUCCUGCUUAGACUUUUACUUAACUCUAACAUAUUUCCAAAAUGUCAGCUAGAGUUACUCUCCACUUUGUCAGCCCACAAAAAUCGUUAAGUUAUAAAUCAAUAAUUGCACAAAUACAACUUAUCCCUCCUGCCGUUUUCCUUGUGCAAAAGUCUGACAGGUGAUAGUAAAUAAGAAAUUAGUCUAAGUGUGCCUUUUACCAGCACCAUCUAGAGCCAUAUCUUGUUCAGGAUAACCUGGCCAUGUUAGUCAGCUCAACAGCUUUGCCCAAAAAAGCUCAACACCUUUUCUGCCCAGAUAUUCGCUGUUUGAAAUACGGCAACCCUAUCUGUAUGGGGCUGUCCUUGCCUCUGAUCUGGAAGCUCCAGCUAGUGCAGGAUGCAGCAGAUGGGCUACCCCAGAUGGCUGGCAGCAUGUAGCAGCCUUGCUAAAACAUAGGCCCAUAUGUCACCAGGACAGGUUGAAGGUUCUUGUAUUAAUAUACAAUAAAAGGCCCUGAGCAACUUUAAUCCAGGAUACUUCCUGAGCCCUUAUCCCGCAGCUUGAUCACUGAUAUCGAUAAUCCACAGGAGCACUAUAACUUUACCCCCCCAUCACCACCACAUUCACCCCCAUUUCUUGACUAAUAGUCAGUCACUUUAUUGCACAUAGCCAAUGGCUACUGCAAUGUACACAGAAUCGUUCAACAAUUAAAAGAAAUAUUGGAUUGAUACAAAAAACUUAAAACAUUUAUAUUAUCAAGACAUUACCUACUCUAAACAGAGCUAUAAAAGUAUCUUAAUAUACAAGUUGACGUUAAACAAUAAAAUUUAUAAGCUAAAAUUAUCACAUGGCCACUAAUAUAUUAAAAAUAAUGUUAAUUAGUAUAAUGCAUUUCUCAACUAGAAGUUGAGCAUUUAGUGCCACCACUUCCAUUCUGUAGAAUAUUCUUCCGGCAGAGAGUCAGAAGGCAUCCUCAUGAAUAAUUUUUGUGUGUGUUGACAGGCCUAUUCAGGGGUUUAAGCUUUUUAACAACCUGCAUUGUUUUUAAUGGUAUUUUAUCUCUUUUGUAAAUCAUUUUGAACACUGCCCUGGGAUUUUUUUAACGAGAGAUGGUCCAUAAAUAUAUAUAUAUUUUAAAUAAACAACCUACUUCACAGCAUUACUUCAAUGACAUAAAAAGCUAAUAUUGUUAAUCACUCUGCACACUGGAAAACCCUGUAGAAAUUAUUGUUCAUUUCAGCUGGUCCCAGAUUUUGCAGCUGUUCACAAAAGGAUUUCUUUUCUAAGAGUUCCCUGAGCAAGGUCCUGACAACUACUAGUUUAGGAGUCGCUGUCACUGUGCAUUCUAGAAAUCUUUCCAUGAACAGACCGCACAUUCCGGGGCCUUAUCAGCCAAGAGAGGCAUCGAUCCAAUUUGCAGGUUACAGCCUGAUUCUCUGUAAGCACUUGGAAAGUCUGACUGAGUGACACUUGCUGAACUUGGCACAAUAAUGCACUUUCUCUGUCAAGCUUUUUCUGCACUGAGUUUAAGUAAGCAAACCCUUUAAAAUCCAAGUGUCACUAGAGCUGGAGGACAGUCUUUUGUUUUAUUAACCGGGACAUAGCUGCUUGUUCCUGCCUGAUGCUUCCAUCAUACUAUAUUCACUGCUUUACAAUCCAGUGUGGUGUAGUGGUUAAGAGCAGUGGACUUGUAAUCUGGUGAACUGGGUUCGAUUCCCUGCUCCUCCACAUGCAGCUGUUGGGUGACCUUGGGCUAGUCACACUUCUCUGAAGUCUCUCAGCCUCACUCACCUCACAGAGUGUGUGUUGUGGGGGACGAAGGGAAAGGAGAUUGUUAGCCACUUUGAGACUCCUUAAGGGGAGUGAAAGGCGGGAUAUCAAGUCCAAACUCCUCCUCCUCCUCCUCCUCUUCUUCUUUUUUUUUGUAGGUUGCCAUUAGAAUCUGCCCCCCCAACUUGUGUAAUAACACACAUUUAGCUCAAACAAAUUUGAUGAUUCCUCUUUUAUAUUUUGUUGUUGUUUUGUUGUUUAGUCGUUUAGUCAUGUCCGGCUCUUUGUGACCCCAUGGACCAGAGCACGCCAGGCACUCCUGUCUUCCUUUUAUAUUUACCUGCCUUUAAACCCACUUUCAUAUUCAAACAAAAUUUGGGGUCCAAUUGGAAACCACAAUUUAAGAAGGAUGUUGACAAGGUGGAAUGUGUGCAGAGGAGAACGACCAAGGUGAUCAGGGGUCUGAAAACAAAGCCUCAUGAGGAAAGGUGGAAGGAGCUGGGUAUGUUUAGCCUAGAGAAGAGGAUACAGUGGUACCUCUGCUUACGUACUUAAUUCGUUCCGGAGGUCCGUUCUUAACCUUAAACUGUUCUUAACCUGAAGCACCACUUUAGCUAAUGGGGUCUCCGCUGCUGCCGCACCGCCACCACACGAUUUCUGUUCUCAUCCUGAUGCAAAGUUCUUAACCCGAGGUACUAUUUCUGGGUUAGCGGAGUCUGUAACCUGAAGCAUCUGUAACCCGAGGUACCACUGUACUGGGAGGAAAUAGGAUAGCCAUCUUCAAAUAUCUCAAGGGGUGUCACAUGGAAGAGGGAACAAGCUUGUUUUCUCCUGCUCUGGAGGCUAGGACUCGAACCAAUAAAAUUAUAAGAAAGGAGAUUCCAACUAAACAUCAGGAAAAUCUUUCCGACAGUAAGAGCUGUUCAACAGUGGAACAGUCUCCCUCAGGAGGUUGUGGACUCUCUUCCUUGGAGGUUUUUAAACAGAAGUUGGGUGACCAUCUGUCACAGAUGCUUUAGUUGAGAUUCCUGCAUUGCAGGGAGUUGGACUAGAUGAUUCUCAAAGUCCCUUCCAACUCUACAAUUCUAUGAUUCUACAAAAUCUUAAUUUAUUUUUGUGUUACCUAUUAAAAUGUUUUGUUCAUUUCCCUGCAACGUCAAUAAAAGGGGUGUGUGCCUUUUGUUUGAUAGCCUCUUUGUGGUUAAGUAAGAACAGAGACAUCAUAGUGUGGCAAGCCAUCGACUGUUUCCAUUACGGAUGGAAUUUCAGUUGCCACAAAACGCUGUGUUUUUCAAAAGCACUUCUAGUUUUUACCAUCUAUGAUAUCUGCAGCAAACAGGAUGUCAUCUGCUAGCUCCAUUGACACAGCCUUGUGCAUAUUUACUGCCUUGCUCAUUGAGAAUGUGUUAUGUUGCUGAACUGAGCUUCUCUUCUCUCUGUUCCCAUCCCCCCCCUUUUGCCAAUGAUUCAAAAUGCUAACCUGUCUAGCAUGUGUUUUGUGCUUCGAGUUUCCCUUUGUAAACCAAUUAGGUCUUUGCAAUUUAAAUGGUGUUUUAUUUGCCAAUGGGGAAGCAUCUUCCUUGGUGGACUAAGGUUUUCUUCAUCCUGCAACUGCUGCUUGAUAUAAUGAUUUAUUAAGGUACUAGGAGAAUUAUUGAUCUGGCUAAUAGCUUCUUCCUCGCUGCAUAAUGUUUUACAUUUUACUCAACUGAAAGGGCCCCAUAUUCCUUCUCUCAUCCUCUGAUUGACCAUAAAUGUUCUGGCCUUCCCCCCAGCAAUUAUCACACUUACCAAAGAGGUAGGUAAAAGUCAAGUAUCUGUAGGCUAAAUUAAAAGAGUCAGCGCAUCCAAAUAAUGUCCUGUGCAUAAGGGAUAGAAUCCUUUGUAAGAUUAAAUAAUGUUUCUAUAGCAUUCCAAAAAAGAAGAUGUUGCUUUCAAAUUACCAUAUUUUUUGCUCUAUAAGACUCACUUUUUCCCUCCUAAAAAGUAAGGGGAAAUGUGUGUGCGUCUUAUGGAGCGAAUGCAGGCUGCGCAGUUAUCCCAGAAGCCAGAACAGCAAGAGGGAUUGCUGCUUUCACUUCGCAGCGAUCCCUGUUCCGGCUUCUGAGAUUCAGAAUAUUUUUUUUCUUGUUUUCCUCCUCCAAAAACUAGGUGCGUCUUGUGGUCUGGUGUCUCUUAUAGUGUGAAAAAUACGGUACCUUAGCACUAGAAGGUGUACCAGUGCAGAAUGAGGCCUCGGCAGGGUUGCCUGGAAAAGAGCUUUGUAGGCAGAGAUCUGAACAUCUCUUUCACUCCAAGAAGCAGCUAUGUGCUCAAGUCAGUAUGCUGGCUCAAGACGGCUCAAGAUGUUUAAGAAGAUUUAUGCUAAUCAAACUUUGGUCUACAAAUCCUUGCCGCUUCCCCAAUUUUCAGAAAAUUACUGGUUGGCAAGCCGCUAUGAGGAGGCUCAGUUCUUAAAUCUGCACAAGAAAUGAAUUUGGGGAGCUUAGGAAGUGAAAUACAGGAUUGGAGGUUCAAACCACCCCUCUGUUUUCUAAGGACUAAAGUGUACAUUACAUGCAACUUUGGGAUAGGUUUGUUUUGAGCAGAGGAAUGUGGUAUUUCCUGCUGAGCAUUCGUCUGCUCCAAAUUCAUUUUCCCGACAUGCCUGACACUUCUUGGCACGGGGAGUGGGAACAACUGGGGUGUGUGUGGUGAUUGGAAAUUGGAAAAUGUCCCAUUGGGAAAGUAUGGGCCCUUGGAAGAUAAAGGUAGAACAGAAAGGUAAAGGUACCCCUGACCAACAGGUCCAGUCGUGACCGACUCUGGGGUUGCGCGCUCAUCUCUCUCAAGAGGCCGGGAGCCGGCGCUUGUCCGAAGACAGCUUCCGGGUCACGUGGCCAGCGUGACUAAGCCGCAGCUGGCGAGCCAGCACCAGCGCAGCACAUGGAAACGCCGUUUACCUUCCCGCUAGAGAGCGGUCCCUAUUUAUCUACUUGCACUUUGGGGUGCUUUCGAACUGCUAGGUAGGCAAGAGUUGGGACCGAAUGACGGGAGCUCACCCCGUCGCGUGGGGAUUCGAACCGCCGACCUUUCGAUCAGCAAGUCCUAGGCACUGUGGUUUAACCCACAGCGCCACCCGCGGUCCCGGUACAGUACAUGUAUAUAAAUAAAAUAAAUGAAGUAAGUCUAUAUAUACUGUUAGGACAAGCUGAGCCUAGGAGCUAACCAGGGUGCUGAAACAUUUGACCUGACUUGUAAUAGUUUUCUUUUUUUGUAAAGCUCACGGGAGGAAAAUCUAAUGAACAAGUCCCUGUAGGGUGAUGUGAUCUAAAUCAAAUUCUUCCUCUGAGUGCUUCCUAUGGACCACAGUCAGAUAUUAUUUCCCCCAAAAUAUUGGGUAAUGUUGGUUUUAAAAAGCAGAGGACAAGCAGUGAGUACUGGGACAUAAAUAAAUAUUAAAAGUACAUAUACUGGCAGUUGUGAUCAUAUUUCCCAUGUGCCCAAUGCAUAGUUGCCUAGUAUAUUAACUUUUAUUUUUGAAAAGUUAUUAUUGGGGGGAAAGUUACGGUGCAACAGGUCUCCCUAUAUGCAAACACAUCGGAGUGUGUGUGCAUUGGGUUAAGGCUGCAAUUUUAACCCUACUGGCAGGAAGCCCCAUUGACUUCAGUGGGAUUUAUUCCUCAGUAUGCAUGGAUGGGUUUGCACUAUAAGUCUAUAGCUUCCCAGGGAAGAAAAAACAAACCACACCACUCCAGGCUAAUCCUGUGAAAACAAGCAGCUCACAUGCCUCCGUUCUGCUGCUCCUUUCUGACUUCUCAAUAUGGAUGAUUGUCAGCUGCCUUCUGUUUGUAUCUCACCUGCAAGAGGACAGAAUCCUGAUGGGCUUCUGCAUCUUUACCGGAAGGAGGCAGAUAGCAGCUGCUACACAUUGGUGCAUGUUCUUUAAAAUGUUGUUAGGAGCUUCUGCUUUUAAAUAAAAUAAACACUGAGAAAUGCUUUCCAGGCUGCCCAAAAUCUGACCUAAAGAAUCUAUUGAAAAACCUCUCUGUUCCCACCUUAAGACUGCAGAGCCUUAGAAAUUUAUUUUCCCCUCCCUUUGAGUUUUGUGUUGUUUACCAUCAAUCCUGACAGAGAAUUCUGUGUAAUUCAGAAUUGCAUAUGUCACCAAUGAAUUUUAGUUUAGCCUAAUAUAGUUUCAAUAUCUUUGGAUAUUUUACAAUGGAUUCACACAGCUACCUGGGAGUUUUUUUUUAAAGUAAUUUGGAGAAUGUCCACAGGCCUAUUUGGGCUUUUAAAUUUUAGGUCAUUUUGGCAUAUAUUUAAUGUUUUAAUUGCUGUUUAACAAACAUCAGCUUGGCUUUAUUUGGAAGGCGUAUUCAGAGACGUAUGAAAUUUUGCCUUGUCCCAUCUUCUUGGUUCUUAAAUAACCCUUCGGACAUGAGGUAAACAACAGUGGCAAACAAAGGAAGCUGUAAAUCUUCCUGAGCUAAGUCUGGUGCUCCUAAUUGCUUCAAGGUAAAAUCAGGCUUUUCUCUGCUGUUCAUAGUUGACCUAGCAAAAGAUCACUUAAUUUUUCUAUUAAGACUGAGUGUGGCAUAGAUUUUUGUUGUUCCUAGCAAUUUUUUAAUGGACCUAAGCAGCCAAGAAGGCUUUUAGGCAGGUAUGUUCUAGCCCAAAGGCCUUUGAGAUUAGCUUUUAAUGCAUUCAGCACAUAACCUUCCGCAUGACAUUUCGAUUUCUGUUAAGUACAGCAAGCGUUCAGAGGUGAGGCUUGUCUUUCUGCAAACUAUUCAAUACUCUAAGCAGUCAAAGAUAUCAGACUAUGGGUACAACUAGCUAUGCUUCUGUUCAGCUCAUAUUUAUUUCAAUGGGACUUGUGCAAGAAAAUUUCACAGAGACAAAUGUUCAGUUGUCUUGCUUUGUGAAACCUUUAGAAAGCAAGGGCUUAGCCACACUUACUUUCCAGGCGUAGUCUGCGCUUCAAAGUUCCGUGUCUGAGCAUUUUAUUUUGUUUAUUUUUUGCUCCAGAGCUUUCCCCAUGAAAACCCAGUCUUUAAAGCUCAAUCAGAGUAAACAGCAACCUGCAGAAAACUUGAGUGGACAUUUGCGCCGAUUAAGCUUUUCAGAGUAGGUUUUCAUGAGGAAAGGAGCUUUUGAACAUGGAUCUGUGCCUGGAAAAAGUUCAGCAAAAGGUCAGUGUGGAAAAGCCCCAAGUGAUGUCCUGUGAAUUUCAAAUGCAUUUGGGGAACAGGGGUGGGGUGCUAGUAUUUUCAAACUGUGAUGCUUGCUUCAUUCUGUAUAACUGUGCUAGUAUUUUCAAACUGUGCUAGUAUUUUCAAACUGUGCUAGUAUUUUCAAACUGUGAUGCUUGCUUCAUUCUGUAUAUCUGUGUAUUAUAGUUAGGGACUUUGGAGGACUAUACAAAUGGUAUUGUUAGGUAUCCUGAUAAGCUAGAAAACAUGGCGGAAAUUAGCUGUCUUCCACUGUGUCAGGCCACUAGCACGUUGGUCCGGAUAGUAUCUCAUGUGACUGGCAGCAGCUGCCAGAUUCUUUCAGUUGUUCUGCCAGGGGCUAAAGCAGACUUUUAGCACCCAAAACAGGCAUUUUGCUACCAAGCUAUGGCUUGCUCCCCCCUCUGUAGAUUCUGUCUCUCCCCCCCCCCAUUUUCUUUCCUUUUGGCAUUAGGUGGUGUCACACACACACACACACCCCAUUUCCCAGUUCAUCUUAAUUUAUUUUUUAAUUUUUAUUUAAAAUGUUUUUUAUUUAGCCCUUCAUUUGUUUUGAUUUCACAGUAUCGUUGUUGUUUAGUCAUCUUAGUCGUGUUCGAGUCUCCGUGACCCCAUGAACCAGAGCAUGCCUUGGAAACUCUCACUUUCUUCUCACAGCUUCUCCUUUUUUACGUCCAUGGAGUUUUCUUGGCAAAAUACUGGAGUGGUUUGCCAGUUCCUUCUCCAGGUGGAUCACAUUUAGUCUGAACUCUCGGCUAUGACCUGUCUGUCUUGGGUGGCCCUGCGCGGCAUAGCUCAGAGCUUCUUGGAGUUCUUCAAGCCCCUUUGCCAUGACAAGGCAGUGAUCCAUGAAGGGGUCACAGUAUCAUACAAUUAUAUAUAUAUAUAUAUUCCAACAGAUUAAAAUGUCUUUGUAACCAAAUGCGUUUUAGCCUAGUACAGGGGUCAGCAACCUUUUUCAGCUGUGGGCCGGUCCACCGUCCCUCAGACCAUGUGGUGGGCCGCACUAUAUUUUGAAAAUAAUAAUAAUGAACGAAUUCCUAUGCCCCACAAAUAACCCAGAGAUGCAUUUUAAAUUAAAGGACACAUUCUACUCAUGUAAAAACACGCUGUCUGCGGGCUGGAUUGAGAAGGCGAUUGGGCCGCAUCCAGCCCACGGGCCUUAGGUUGCCUACCCCUGGCCUACUACUAAAAAUCUGAACCUCUCUCUUGGGAGGAUGUUCUGUAAGCUGGAACAGAAACCCUCCAGCUAUUGAAUGCUACUAAUAAAGGAGGUUUCUCGACAAAGUCUUCAGCAGAAGAUGUCAAAGCAUUGAUAUGGGGAGAGGCACUUGUGGGGCAUCUUGAGUUGGGCCCAGAAACAAGCAAGUCAGUCAAUUUGAUUCUUUCAAAUUGUAGACCUGGCUGUCGUAGUCAACUUGCUGGGACCUGCAUUUUGCAACAGGUCUUUAGUGGCAGCACCAUCUACAACAUAGACAAGAUACCAGAGUAGGAGGUUACAGGAGCAUGGCUCAUCAGGGCCAGAUUGUCCCUCUCCAGGGGUGGUUGAAGCUUGCUAAAGGGACUCCAUGCCACUGACGGAACCUGGACUUCUGUUAAUAAAACUGGAUGUAGGAAUACUCUCAAACUCUCUUCUUUCACAGGCAGCACAGUCACUUCUAAAGCAAGACAUGGAUCAGUUUCCUGAACUUGUGCCACAGUGCCUCUGUUUCGUCAAGGUUCAGUUUCCAGCUCAAUACAGCAUCCAGUCAGAGCUCCAGUAUCCCCAUAGCCUUACCUGAUUCAGAUUGUAAGGAGGAACAAAGAUGGUGGACAAGGCCAGUUUCUUCGCAGGGUUGCCAUAUUCCAAGGAUACUGCCCCACUCUUCGCCUGUAUACUUGCUGCCAAGCCCCGUAGCAGUAACUUCAAACAAUUCCCCCCCCCAAGUGCAGGCAUUGUGCUCAAAAGUCAAAGCAGGAUCAGCCUACCUACCUGUAGAAACAGAAGCACCUGUCUUUUAUAAUAUGUCUUUAUAAUAUGGCACCAUCAUUGGCUGAUUGGGACCCGAUCCCAGACCAGCUGUUUUGCAUUGGCAGCAGUAGAAGGAACAUGGGGUUCAAGUCAGGCCUCAGGUGCAGAAAUGAGCAGUCUAAUGAUGUUCACAAGAAUAUAACAAAGCUUUAUCUUCCUGAAGAUGAAGGUGAAGUAGAAGAGUUUCUGGCCCAAAAAAAGGAAGGUGUUUUAAUAUUGUUUGGGAAUUUUAAGUAUGGAAACUGAGUGCAUUCUACACUUAUAUGUGUAUGUUGAUGCUGUCUGUUGUUUUAAGCGGUGUUAGAAACUGAGAUACGAAAGCUAGGAGCUAAGUGGCACCUUAAAUCUAUGUUAUGGGCACAACCACAGCAUAGCUAGGCGUGCUUUUUUAAUAACAAGAAUACAAAGCUGAAAAUGAAUGAACUGCAGCUAAAAUAUUAUGUUCAUUUUUCACAUGGUCUAGUCCUUCCCCUGCCCACUCACCUAAUAUUCUUAAGAGGGUCUCUUCUCCAGUCUUCAGAGGGUAGCUGGAAGUGGGGAGGCAGAAAAAGGCCCUCCUUUCCUUCUACUCUGCAGUUUUAAUCUGAAAUCUUAGGUGCAGAACUAAGGCCAAAGCUCAGAAACUGCUCGUGCUAAUGAAAUUCCCUGUCGCAAAAUGCACCUAGAAUAAUAUGAGUUUCGAACACUGGUUUUAAGUGCAGUGGUACCUUGGGUUAAGAACUUAAUUUGUUCCGGAGGUCCGUUCUUAACCUGAAAGUGUUCUUAAUCUGAGGCACCACUUUAGCUAAUGGGGUCUCCUGCUGCCACUGCGCCGCCGCCACGCGAUUUCUCUUCUCAUCCUGAAGCAAAGUUCUUAACCCGAGGUACUAUUUCUGGGUUAGCAGAGUCUGUAACCUGAAGCGGCUGUAACCAGAGGUACCACUGUACUUCAGUACCAACGGCAUAAUUUGUUUUCUAAUUGCACGCUAAAAAAAAACUUGGAGUGAGAUUUUCAUGUGAAAUCUUGGCUGUUUCAUGGGGAAGAGCAGGAGGAGGCCACCAUUACUGAGCAACAAAUGUAGCAUAGCGUAGAAUACAGGCCAAUAAACCAGCUCAGCCUUCUUCAGCUCUUUCUACCUCUGCCUGUCUUCAUACAAAGUGUCUUCUCCUUCAUGGAGAGCACAGGUUGCGGUGGGGUUCACAAGACACCUUGCUGUUGCCGGGCAGGUUAGUUUGGAUGUCCACCAUUGUGAUUGGGCUCCUCUUGUUGUUGGGGAGAGUUAGAUGUUGCCAAUUAUUAAUUGACAGCCUUAGGUUAUAUAUUCUCUGUGUGCAGCGUUGAGCUUCUCUUUUCGCUGUGCACAUUGGAUCACCCGCCCACCCUCCCUGAUUUUAGGGCUUUUGCGUUUGACCUUGCUAUGCCUGUCAUGGGGUCGUCUGCUUUUGGGGCAGAGGCCUGGUAGGAAUUUUGUCCUUUUGGCUGAUUGGUUGGUGCCAUUUGGUAUUUUGCCUACUGCGUAGCAAAUUGUCACAAUUUGUAAGGUGGUGGUUAGGCAUUGGUUUUAGAAAAUUGGUUGGUGGAGGGGUAAGGAUUGGCUGUACCUGCCCCUCCAAUGCUGCUGCUGCAAGGGAAUUCCGUUAAAGGAAUCCAGGGGUUUGCCAUGCUCUUGUUCGAACCCCUGUCAAGGGGCUAGGGCCACGCAAGAGCCCCUGGGAGCAUUUGGGGAGAGGUGAGGGUCUGGCACCCAGCUCCAUUUUCUCCCCAAAAAUGUUUUCCCUUACUGACUUUGCAGGGGUGCGGAUGUCAGUUCCAUCCCUGGGCGGGGACAGAUAGUCGCACCCAAUGCCUAAGCAACCACUUACAUUUUGUAUUUUAAUAAAGUUAUGGCCAAAAUUAUGCCAAAGACCUUAAACAAAAAUUCCUGUGUGAAGUGUGAAUUCAUUUGGGGGUGGUUUGGGGACCUCAAAAUGGAAUAGAGGUGUCCUGCUUCCCAGUUUCCAAGCACAUGGGCCCUGCUCCACACUGUUAAUGUGGACUCGAACCACCUUUGGCCUGUGCAGUUCUACAGCAGGUAGCAGAGAAAGAAUGACAUUAAUUAGUCAGAGAUAUUAUAACCGAAUCUUAGAUUUAUAUGAUUCAUGUAAUCCCGUGAAUUCAUGUGAUUGAUGUAAUCACAGCAGGCUAAAUUACACAGCCUUCUUUAAAAGCAGCAGGGAGCCAGCAGUCUGAGUAGCAGGCCUUUAACUAUGGUUGAGACCAGAUAUUAUUUAAAGUAGAUAUAUACAAAUGCCAAAAAAAAUAUUACUUUUUCCCCAUUGGAAAGGCUAUAAAAUGCAUAUUGGUCUCUAGCCCCAUUCAUCAAUGUCUUUAUAGUGUAAUUACAAAUCCUGUGAAUGUUGGAAUCACUAAAUUGAAAUACAGAGAGGCGUUUGGAAAAUGGUGCCAUGUCAGCACUGUUAGUGCAAUAAAUAUGAGCCACAAAGUAAACGCAGACUUUGAAGCUGCCUAAGCAGGCGUCAUUUUUCUUUUUUCUUGACAUAUGGUUCUCUGCCCCCUUUCUUUAUCAUUUCAAGGUUAUAUUAUGUCUCAGUUUCGGAGAGUUGAGGAAUUACCACAGACCAAGGGGGAUUUUUUCCCCCUUUUGUUUUGCAGCUAUUCUAAGCUUUAUUUCUGCUCCAGAUUGCUCCAGUAAUCCCUAUCAAUGUGUUGUCAUCUCUCAACUUAUAGCUGACAGGUAGACAUAUGAAGCAAGGAGGAGGAUCACCUUCUGCCAGAGGUCAUGGCUAUCACUGCAGAGAGAAAUAGGUGGUUGUUGUUGUUUUCCAAAGCAGGCAUCCUGCAUGUAGCUCUCUUCAGCUAAGCCCUUUAUCCUGUAGUGUAGCUGCUCCAAAGGCUGGUAUAAUUUUGCUCCACCCUGUUGCUUCAGGCCCUUUUCUCUCUAAACUGAGAGGCCCAGCACUCUUCCAGGAUUGGUGACUGGUCAGAAGGAAGGUUCCUGAGCAAGGGAGGUGCAGGGAGCAGGAUCCGCCUUCUUUCUCCCAUGUGGCCUUCUCUCCUAGAAGUUAGGACCUACCCUCCAUUUUGUGUAUGAACAAGGAAAGCAUGUGAACGCCAGAAAUCUAGGUUGACCCAUACAAAAUUAGGAACAAAUUUUGGGCACAACUUGGUGUCCAACUCCAUUUGGAAUCUUGGCCAUCUUUAUUGUAAACUUUCACUAAACUGACAGGGCUCAAAAUUGGCAGGGUUGAAGGUGAAGAAUGGGCAGAAGAAUAGACAAACACCUCCCUUCGUGUCCUGCUUUUCAAUGGAGGUACCUCGGGUUAAGUACUUAAUUGGUUCCGGAGGUCUGUUCUUAACCUGAAACUGUUCUUAACCUGAGGUACCACUUUAGCUUAUGGGGCCUCCUGCUCCUGCCAUGCCACCGGAGCACGAUAUCUGUUCUCAUCCUGAAGCCAAGUUCUUAACCUGAAGCACUAUUUCUGGGUUAGCAGAGUCUCUAACCUGAAGCGUAUGUAACCUGAAGCGUAUGUAACCCGAGGUACCACUGUAUUUCUGGGUUAGCGGAGUCUGUAACCUGAAGCAUCUGUAACCUGAAGCGUAUGUAACCCGAGGUACCACUGUACAAGGAUGAAACAUCUGCAUAGAGUUGGUGUACAGGACCCAAUGGUUUCAGUUUUUCUAAUACUGCAAAAUACUGACCGUUAUUUAUUUGAUGUAUCUGUUUAUGUGGGGACUGAUAGGGAGAAGCUGUAGGUAUGUGGGAAAGAGGGGUGAGUUCAGCUCUAGCCCCCUCUUUGCUAUGUCUGGCUUCUUCCUAGCAAUGGUUUCAUUCAAGAGACUGACCCUUUUGCUACCAAUUUCCACGGUUCGCAUUUGAUGGGAAACUGCAUUUGAGUUAGCCAAUUCAGUUUUCAGGGGUGGUUUUUUUUGUGUCUCCCUCUGAAACCUACAAAAAAUUCUAGACCAAAUAUGUCAGCACGCCACUAGGAUUAACCAAGUAUCUGCUUCCUGGAAUUUGGCUUAAAAGGUCAAAAAGAAAAGCAUUGUUACCCCAUAUCUGCUAAUUACAUGCAAAGGCAAACUCAAAUCAGCUCUUCUCCAUGUGAUCUGUCAUUCAAGAGUGCAUUACAGCUGAUUUGGAAUUACUGUAUUUUCACGAAAGGCCUUUGCAGGUCAAAGUAAUUGGCAAGCUUUGCUGGCUGGAAAAGCUGGGAGGUCAGGGACUGUCAGCAGUUAAGAAAUAUAUGGUUCUGGAGGAAGAGGCAUUGUUCCUUGAAAAUCUUUUGGGUGCAUGAAAGUAAAUUGCUCCUUUCCCAUUCCUUCUAUCUCUUCAUUCUUGCACAGCCCAGGCAUUAAUUCUAAAAAUACCUUCAGUGUCUUUCAGGCCUUAUCCCUUUAGCCAGCUAAGAGUGCCAUGUUCAGGAAGGGCACAUUUUCAGAAUCCUUCUGAAUAGAAAACUGGCAGUGGAAAUGUUUCAUUCCCCCCACUCAGUCUAAUUUUAGGUAUGUCGGUGUUGUUGUUUUUCAAAUCACCUGGGAUUCAACCUAGUCAGUAGAGACAAAACCGCAUUUUCUCAUUAGACCUUUUAACAAAGGCCUUUCGCUUCCCAAACUUUUGUCUGGACAAAAGUAAGUACCGGUAAAUAAGAGUUGGAAUAAAUAAGCAGUGGCAAUUAGGCUAUUUCAAAUAAGUUGUUGGUGGACAAUUGGGAAUAAACAGGGCAGUCACUUGAAAGAGAAUAGUCAUCACCUUCAUGAUGGAACAGUAUAAUAAUAAUAAUAAUAAUAAUAAUAAUAAUAAUAAUAAUUUAUUUAUACCCUGCCCAUCUGGCUGGGUUUCCCCAGCCACUCUGGGCGGCUCCCAACAGAAUGUUAAAAAUGGAAUCAAACAUUAAAAACUUCCCUAAACAGGGCUGUUUUCAGAUGUCAGAUAGUUGUUUAUUUCCUUGACAUCUGAUGGCAGGGCGUUCCACAGGGCAGGCGCCACUACCGAGAAGGCCCUCUGCCUGGUUCCCUGUAACCUCACUUCUCACGGGGAGGGAACCGCCAGAAGGCCCUCGGAGCUGGACCUCAGUGUCUAGGCUGAAUGAUGGGGAUAGAGACAUUCCUUCAGGUAUAGUGGGCCGAGGCUGUUUAGGGCUUUAAAGGUCAGCACCAGGGGUCGGCAACGUGCGGCACAUGGGCUGGAUGCGGCCCACGAAGACCGUUUUACCGGCCCACGAGCUGCCCCCAAACCAAGCUAAAACUAAAGUGAAGCAUUCCUUAGUGUUCAUUGUGCCCCAAUACUGAAAAAAACAGUAAGUUUAUCUGUAAUACAUUGUUUUUGGCAUAAGGGAUGGUUGUUGCCAGCUGAAAUGGUUUGCCUUUUAAAUGCUGUCAUUUUAAGGAAGGCAGGAAGCAAUUACUUUUUUCUCUUGUAAGCAGUGACCUGCACCAGCUCAUUUAGGCAAUUGACACCUCUGCAGACAACAUAAAGACCAGCUUAUACUUUACACAGCAAAUGAGUUUGGAUUUUUCAGUGAGCCAGAACAUUUGAAGGACUGGUAUUCGCUGGGAUCUACUUCAUAGUUAUUAAAAAUGGCAGCUCAAUUUUUACAAUGUCAUUUGUAAAUCAAGGUGGAGUUGCACAGGGCAUGUUGUUGCUUGUGGUGGUUUUUUUGGUUUCCCUCCACACGUAGCUCGUUUAUAAGAGGGUGGAAACCUGAGAUUUAGUUAGUUUAUGCUGAUAAAGAUAACAUGGGUCAACAAAAUACAACAGAAUAAGGCUGUCUAGGGUGCUAUGGUUUUCCCAGUAGUGAUGUAUGGAAGUGAGAACUGGACCAUAAAGAAGGCUGAUCAACAAAGAAUUGAUGCUUUUGAAUUAUGGUGUUGGAGGAGACUCUUGAGAGUCCCAUGGACUGCAAGAAGAUCAAACCUCUCCAUUCUGAAGGAAAUCAGUCCUGAGUGCUCACUGGAAGGACAGAUUGUGAAGCUGAGCCUCCAGUACUUUGGCCACCUCAUGAGAAGAGAAGACUCCCUGGAAAAGACCCUAAUGUUGGGAAAGAUGGAGGGCACAAGGAGAAGGGGAUGACAGAGGACGAGAUGGUUGGACAGUGUUCUUGAGGCUGCCAGCAUGAGUUUGACCAAGCUGCGGGAGGCAGUGGAAGACAGGAGUGCCUGGCGUGCUGUGGUCCAUGGGGUCACGAAGAGUCGGACACGAGUAAAUGACUAAACAACAACAACAGGGUGCUUUGAACUUCUGUACAAUGACCAGAAAGCUGAAUUGAAUCACUUUUUGUUUCUGGACUAAAACUGAACCUGGAACAUUAUUUGAUUAAUUUAAUUUAGUCUGAACCAAAGAAGAAAUCUGGUUGUCGGUUCAGAGUGUAGGAUUGACAAUACUAAUGAGAUGCAAAAAUCUUUGUGGCCACCCAGAAGGAAUGAUGAGCACAUAAACCUAAUAUCCGGAUAGGCCUUUCAUGGCGUAUUGUCCUUUGCUUUUGUACUCUCUCCUCUGGGAAUCUGCAGGCAGGAGAGAGGCUUGUUGGUUUAAGGCUGCAUUUCAGAAUAGCAGACUGAGCUCCCGUUGCUCGGUCCCUGCUCCUGCCAACCUAGUUCGAAAGCACCUCAAAGUGCAAGUAGAUAAAUAGGUACCACUCCGGCGGGAAGGUAAACGGUGUUUCCGUGCGCUGCUCUGGUUCGCCAGAAGCGGCUUAGUCAUGCUGGCCACAUGACCCGGAAGCUGUACGCCGGCUCCCUUGGCCAAAAAAGCGAGAUGAGUGCCGCAACCCCAGAGUCGGCCAUGACUGGACCUAAUGGUCAGGGGUCCCUUUACCUUUAUAAACUACCUGGUAGUGGAGGGGGGUGGGUAGGUAAUAUUACUGUGCACAGUAGGUUGUCUUCCCCAUAGCCUCUCUGUAGCCAUUGAAAUUGUGGCGAAAACCUUUUCUUCCUAUUGCAAGUGGUGUAUUUGUGUUUGUGUAUUUAUGCAACAUAUGUAUGCACACUAUAUGCAGUUCCUUGCAGACAGGAGGUGGCAUUGGUGAUGGCUGAUCCUGCUGAGGGCAACAGUCUUCCAGUUACCUAAUGGUGAAGAAAAAGAGCUCCAUUCUGCUUUGACAAAUCUGCAUCUUGAUAUGCACAGUAGUUACAUUUCCCCACCUGAUUUGGAGCUUAACCAAUUUUGGUGCAGUCAGCGCCGGAUUUAGGUUUGAUGAGGCCAUAUGCUACUGAAGGUAAUGGGGCCCUUUAUAUGUCCAGCUGUCCUUUGUCAACAACAAAUUGUCACUGUUUAUUGUGUUGAAUAUACAGUGGUACCUCGGGUUAAGAACUUAAUUCAUUCUGGAGGUCCGCUCUUAACCUGAAACUGUUCUUAACCUGAAGCACCACUUUAGCUAAUGGGGCCUCCCGCUGCCGCCGCACGAUUUCUGUUCUCAUCCUGAAGCAAAGUUCUUAACCUGAGGUACUAUUUCUGGGUUAGCGGAGUCUGUAACCUGAAGCGUCUGUAACCCGAGGUACCACUGUAUGCUGUAUUGGAAUUUAUGGACCUAAUAGGUAUCUAAAGCCAUUUGCACAUGUUGCCAUGCAACCAGUCCAUGCAGAAUGUAGGCACUCUGUAGAUAGAAAUGAGCAAACCAGUGAUAUUUUAGGGAACAGGCUAGCAGGCGGGGCCCAUUAGUUAUAUCAUAGGAGCCUACACAACACAAAACACUGUUGCUGUAUGUAGAUUUUAUUUUAUCUUAUAUUUUGGAAAUGUACAUCCAGGGUUUCUUCCUUUAAUUUGUUUUUGGGGGGCCCAAGAGAGUGGGGCCCUAAGCUAUAGCUUGUUUAGCUUAUACGUAAAUCCGGCACUGGGUACAGUCGUACCUUGGAAGCUGAAUGGAAUCUGUUCCGGAAGUCCAUUUGACUUCCAAAACGUUCGACUUCCAACGUGUGGCUUCUGAUUGGCUGCAGGAGCUCCUGCAGCCAAUCGGAAGCUGUGGAAGUACCACCAGACGUUGGGCUUCUGAAAGAAUGUUCAGAAACCGGAACACUCACUUCCAGGUUUGCAGUGUUCGGGAGCCCAAACAUUUGACUGCUAAGGCGUUCGUCAACCAAGGUUCGACUGUAUUUAAAACUAAUUUCUGACCUGAACGCAAUAAAAGUGGAGCAGUUAACUUGAACUGAAUCCCAAAAUAUACCGUAUUUUUCGCCCUAUAGGACGCACCGGCCCAUAGGACGCACCUAGUUUUCAGUUGGGGAAAUCAAGGAAAAAAAAUAUUAUUCCCCCCCCCCCACAGCUCUGGGAGCAGCGGACAGGCUGCACGCAGCCUGUGCGCUACUCCAAGACCUUCUCCCUACCUCUGCCACCUUCCCACUGCCUUCCCGCUGCCCCCCGAUCCUCUGGGGCUGGCGAUGGGGGGAAGCGCUGCUUUCCCCCACUGACAGCCUCAAAGAGCAGACUCUUCUGGCUUCAGCGAAAGCAACGCGAAGCCUCCGGAGCGCAGGAGCCUGCAUUCGCCCCAUAGGAGGCACACACAUUUCCCCUUCAUUUUUGGAGCGGAAAAAGUGCGUCCUAUGGGGCGAGAAAUACGGUAGUUGUUUUACCUUGAUUGCUGCCACCUUUUGGUGGCUGAAAAGGGGAACGUGUGAUCCUUUUUAUUUUUUAUUCUUUUGCAUCUCUUUCAUGCUCAGAUAAGGUGGACACUAUUUUUUCUUAUGGGACUCUGAUCCCACAAAACAGGGAGCUUAUUAAACCCCCAAACUGCUUGGGUUUCUCCCCCCUCCCACAGUUCUUUUUACCAAUAUUUCCUCCAAAAUCCAAUAUUUAGAAAUGUUUAGCCAAGGAUCUAAAUGGCAGCAUAAAUAUAUAUCUCUGAUCACCACAGGACGAUAAACGCAUCAAGUGGCCUUUAAAAGGCGAUUUAACAUCCAGCAAUUUACAGCUCCAAUAAGGUAAUGUUCCAGGGACUACGAGGUCCAAAAAGCAAAAUUGUAAAACUUGAUUUAAGGGAGGAAAUAAAUAGUAUCUCUUCUGAAGCAUCAGACUCUGAAAUGGCAAGGCGAGGGGUGGGGGUGGGCUACGUCAGCAAAAAGGCAGGAAAUCAAUCAGCUUUCAAUAUGGUGGCCGAUGGGGAGUCAGAUGCUUACAUAGACAAAAACCAAAAAGCGCUAGCCUUGGACUGGGCAAUUGAUCUAGCCCCCUUCAAAAGACGAUUUGGCACGCCACUGGCAGACCUUAAGGAAAUCUCCAAAACAGGCUAAUGAAGCUACGAAUUGAAAAUCAGUCUGAAAUUCAGUUGCUUCAAAAGGCAACUGAUGACCAAUCGCUUAAGCCAGAAGAAAAAUUGGACGGAGACAGGCAGAAAAACCUUAAACUUAAUGGUUUACCUGGAGAAAUGGAAGGGGGAAGAUAAUGGUUUCAUUUAUAACCGACUGGCUACUGACCUUGACACACAAGGAUUUUGCGUGGACGCCUAGAGUCCCAAUUACGAAAAGCAGAGCAGGUGAGGUCCCAGGGGACAUUGUGAUGCAGUUUGAGCACUCCAGGCUCAACGAUACAGUCUUCAAAGCCCUUAGGAAUAUCCGGAAUAUAAAAUAUAAUGAUUCCACAACUGAAAUCUUCCAAGAUAUUAGCCUUGCUACUCUCAGCAGGAGUUUGAGAAUGUAAAAACGUCCAUAUAUUCUGGACCAAGGGGGUCUUUGAUAUCAUUGCUAAAACCAUUAAACACCCUCUCUCGCCAAAUCCAGCGUUAGCCUUGCUUUCAUUUAACAUAGAUUCUGACCUCACUAUUCAACAUAAAUAUUUAGUUUUCUUUCUACAGACGGCUAUCUCAGAGUGACAAACUGGGCUUAGAAGGGUAGCAGAAGGUGUUACAAAGAGAGAUACCUUUGUUGAAACCUGGACUCCUUUAUUUUCAUAUGUAAGGCAAGAAGAUAACAAUUAUCUCUCGCCAGCUACUCAAAUUUGUAUAUGGAGAGGCUAUAUUGAAGGUUAAUGUCUUAAGAAUAUGUUUGAAAUGACACUACAAACUGGAUGGUGUGUUUUUUGUGGAGAUUGUAUUAUAUAACUAGACUUGUACCCAGUUAUUGUUGUGAAAAGUUUUAUUAUUUUGGACAAUAAAAAAUUUACUGGGAAAAAAGGGUUUAGAAAACACAGUAACCUGCACUGGAAGCCACACCCUGCAUUAACAAUACGAAAAUAUAUUUCCAGUGGUUGAACUAAGUGGUUGUUGAUCUUUUCUAUAAAAAGCAAUUUAGUUAGCACAGUUUUUUAAAAUUGUUUUGGCCAUUAUAGAAUAUAAAAAUCUGUAAGCAAAAACUGAAAAAGAACUAUUGGCAACUACUUUUCAUAUGUUUAAUGUAUUUUCUGUAUCUCUCUGCAAUUAGUUCUGGCAGACUCCCCUUGCCUCUGUGUUGCUGUUUCUUGAGUCCCUUCUACUGCAGUAUUUUCUGCUGUCUGCCCUGUCAUGCCUGGAACCUAUGACAUUUUUCUGGAAUUGAUAUUAGGCGAACAAAUUAGCCCACACAGAUUAGUUCAAGAGCCCCGUCACUGUUUUCUCUUCCCUGGCCUUGAUAAGGAAACCAAUUAAAAGCCAUGAAGCAUGUUUAACGACAGUGCUAAAUGGGCCACAUCACAAAUUAAAAAUUCACCAUGUACAGAGAAAGUUAUUUACCGUGGUUUGCUUAAGAAAAUAGUAUCCAUUAUUUUUAUUCCUGCUUUUAAGGGCCACAACCAGGAACUGAGACAAAUAAAAGUGGAAGAACCCUGUUUUUCACCUUACCUGCAUGACCUUCCAUUUCCCCUCUGGAUUUCUACCCAAGAAGCCCACCUGACUGAUAGACUGCAAUUGCAGACUGUCAGGCAGGCAUACCUUACCACCCAUUGCACUUUGCUCUUCCCCAGUUUUUCUGUGCCAGAUAUUGAAAGGGAUCGAUAACUUUCCAACCUUCAGUUCUGCCAGUCUCUCAGCAGCAACCCUAGCUGAUAUAUUUACUCACUUGUCAGUUUAUUUUAUAUGCAACUUUUCUCCCAGUGUAGAACCCAAGGCAGCUCACGGCAUAAACAAAAACAGGGGAUUCCACCCACCCACCCAUGGCUUUGCCAUCCAAUAUUGGCAGAGACCAAUAGCUCCAAAAGGAAUGGUUUGGGCCUAGCUCAAAUGGGGAGUGGCUCCAGCUGACGGGGGGGGGUGUAUCCAGGUGGAUUAUGGAAGGCUGUGUAGAACAGGAAAGAGUGUGGCUUUGAGAUUUUUGAGAAACUUAUUAUUACUUGGUAGGGUGUGCCCAUGGAACGCGGGUGGCACUGUGGGUUAAACCACAGAGCCUAGGGCUUGCUGAUCAGAAGGUUGGCGGUUCGAAUCCCCGCAACGGGGUUAGCUCCCGUUGCUCGGUCCCUGCUCCUGCCAACCUAGCAGUUUGAAAGCACAUCAAAGUGCAAGUAGAUAAAUAGGUACCACUCUGGUGGGAAGGUAAACGGCAUUUCCGUGCGCUGCUCUGGUUGGCUAGAAGUGGCUUAGUCAUGCUGGCCACAUGACCCGGAAGCUGUACGCCGGCUCCCUCAGCCCGUAAAGCGAGAUGAGCGCCUCAACCCCAGAGUUGUCCGCGACUGGACCUAAUGGUCAGGGGUACCUUUACCUUUAGGGUAUGCCCUGGGUGCCUUAAUUCUCACUGUGUUGGAAAAUAGAGAGUUUUUUCAGUGGACAAGGGAGUUCCAAGUUAUUAUCUGUCUCUCAGAGUGAACCAGUACAGUAAUAUCUCCAUGAACAUCCGCCUCAUCUAGCGUCCAUUCUGGCAAACGUCUGCAGCAAACCCGGAAGUACCGGAACGGGUUACUUCUGGGUUUGUCGCUCGCGCAUGCGCAGAAGCGCAAACCGCUCCACGCAUGUGCGCAGACGCGGCACUUUGCCCUGCGUCCUUUUCGGCUAGCGGCCAGGGCUCCGGAACGAAUCCCGUUCGCAAAACAAGGUACCACUGUAGUAUCAUUUGGGUCAAUGGUUUCUCUAUAAAUCUAUUCCAGCCCGGUCUUUACCAAUUGAUAAUUCUGUUGAUUAGUAGCUCAGUUUUGCAGUAGCAAAUGUGGUUCUAAUUACAAGCAAAAUAGGAGUCUGAUCUCAUGUGUGGGAGAUAUGCAAUCAAAUCUAACAACGCAUCUUCUUGCUAGUUAGCAUCUGAAGGGGUUAAGAGCAUAGAACCGUAUUGCUUAUAGACAGACUUGGACCAUAGAAACAUAAUUGUAGAGAAGGCUCUCUGUGAUAUCAUUUCUCCUCCUCUCCUGGGAGGGAAGAAGUAAAAUAAGUAUUUCCUCUUCUUUCUCUCUCUACCCCACCCCCUUCAACCAGCCAUGCAGACUGAUGUCUGUCCGCUUACUGCAACAUCAGGUAUAUGCCUGAAGCGGUUUUUGAUGUAAACACAAGUCUGUUACCGGCAUUUACUAAUAAUGCUGUUGCUGCUUAGGACAAACGCUUGACUGUGAGUAAACUAUAUGUUUUAAACUUACUUUUCAGUCUGUAGCCUACUUCUUUGAUAAAUGGGGUGACAAAGGGGGAGACCAGUCUAACUGCUAACUGCGAUGCUUUCAGUUAAACUGCUUAAGAUGGGAUUUCAACUUUGCUCAGCCCUGUGCUUUUAAACGCAAACUGUAAGCUGAUUCUUUUGUCUGUUAACCCGCAUACAUGGAUCUGUAAGAGGGAUAAAAAACCCAUCAUCACAGACAUGCGAAGCAAGAAAAGGAGAGGAUCGAACUGUAAUAGUCAACACUGCACUUUGGUCAAAUCCUCACCUUUUUGAAAGAUCUUUGAUCUCAAAUUUAGAGAAAACGAAUGGAAAAUUUUAUCAUUUGAAAUGUGUCAGAAAAAGGGCCCUGCAGUUCCUUCUGCAAUUUCUGAGAUGAUCAAAGAGAUAUUUUUAAAAAAGACACAAACGAAGGCCCAUUGCAGGCUGAGGCCCAUUCUCUGUGAUGUGGUAAACCUGUGGUGAGCAAAGCAGCUUAUGGAGAACAUGGAGGCACUCAUCUUUUUGAUGUUCAUAUUUCUAGCCAGGACUUAGAUAGGAAGCUUUGAUUCUCCACCUCCUGCCACUUCCAGGAGAAUCCUCAGAGCAUCAUUGUACACUUAUAUCAGAAUAUACUGGCCAGGGCAGUUGCUGCAAGAGCUCUGGCACCCUCUUGACUGGCAAGCCUCUUCAGGGCUUGUCCUUCAUCCUGCUUCCUGGUACCUAGUUUCUUCGUGUUCCACCCAUCUCCCAGCGCACCACUGGGACUCUUGGUCACAGACUCUGACUCUGUAGUCCCAUUAUUCUUACCUCUAAGCACUGCAUGCUUCCUUCCUUCUUCAAAUCCCGUUUCUUCCACCUUCAGAUCCCGUUUCUCCUCACAUUUCUCACCAUCUCUAUUCCCCUGUGUUGCUCACUCCAUAAGUGGAAUGGAACGCAUCCCAGCAGUUCCUCUCCUGCUUCUCUGUUUUCCUCCUCCUGAUUCCUAAUCAAGGUCGUACCUCCCUCUCAGCAUUUCUACUUUUUCAAUAAUUUUUUAUUGGGUUUUUGAUAAUUUUAUACAUCUAAAACAAAACCAUUUCAAACAUUAGAAUACAAGGUUCUUUUGAACCUUCAGACCUCCCUCCCUCCCUCUGUGGGUUCCAUGUUUUUGUUAACUGCAUCUUUUACCUUUAUCCAUCUAUUAUAUAACCAUAAUUCCCAUAGCCUCCUUUCAUCUUUCUGGUUCCUGCCACCAGCCAGACCUUGUUUCUUGCAAGUGGGGUUUCCUAGGGCCUCCCAGAGGCACAACACAAUCACUGCUGCCGCCUCACAAGGUUUACUGCAGGGGUAGGCAACCUAAGGCCCAGGGGCUGGAUCUGGCCCAAUCGCCUUCUAAAUCUGGCCUGCGGAUGGGCCGGGAAUCAGUGUGUUUUUACACGAGUAGAAUGUGUGUUUUUAUUUAAAAUGCAUCUCUGGGUUAUUUGUGGGGCAUAGGAAUUCGUCCCCCCCCCAAGAAAAAUAUAGAGUCCGGCCCCCCACAAGGUCUGAGGGAUAGUGGACCGGCCCCCUUCUGAAAAAGUUUGCUGACCCCUGAGUAAAAUGGUUGAAUGAAAUUAUUUCAGAAAUAAAGGAGCGCUCUUUCAGAUUCCCCAGAUUUUUGAAGAACCACACUUCCCAGGUUUUUCAACCACACACAGAAACACGAAUCACGUGGAAUAUGGGAGCAGUGUGUGCUUUAAGAAUCUCCUGGGACUGUCACGUUCCCUGACCUUGACCCACACUCAAGCACAGAAUAGGGCACUGAUUAAAGCAGGGGUAGUCAACCUUUUUAUACCUACUGCCCACUAAUGCAUCUUUCUUGAUGGUAAAAUUUCCUUCCUUCCCACCAGUGCUCAAUGGAAGGAAGAUUCAGCUUGUGCCGUAGAAACCCCUACCGCCCACCUAGAAUCCUGAAAUGCCCAGUAGUGGGCAGUAGUGACCAGGUUGACAACACCUGGAUUAAAGGCACCCUCUGGAAGGGUCACUGCUGCCCACUCCAAGUCCUUCCAGUCCAGAGUACAUUACUUUACUCCUCAAAUUUGGAAGACUUAAUCACAGAGUAAGGCCCCAUCACCCCCAUGCUGCUAGUAAUGUUUAAAUGUCUAAACACAUGUUUGAAAACACACCGUAUAGCCUAAAACCUUGUUAUUUAAAACUGUCCGUUUUCCCCCUGACCCUUAAGAAACGUGAACAAUUUACUCUUCACUAAAUAUUUAAAUAUAAAGAGGUGAGGAAAACACACAUCUUUUCUGCCUGACAAAAUGUUUAUAGUUCCAUGGCUCUAUAGGACAUGGUUAUGGAGAUUGGUUUAUUUUGCUAUAUUUCUGCGAUUGCUGGCGGCUGCCUUGAACAUGUCUUGUCAGAAGGAUGGGAAACAGGUUUAACUUAAUAACUAAUAAGUUGAAGUACACCUCUCUUGGAGAUAUUUCUAUUAGAUCACAGUCCUCCUGAGGGAUGGAUGUGCAGGUGUGCCUGAAUGGAAUGAAAGAUUAUGAGUUCUUGGGAGGGAGGGAUGAGUGUGUGUGUGUGUGUGUGUGUGUGUGUGUGUGUGCAAGAGAGAGAAAGUGUAAUAGUGUUUAGCUUAGUUUUAGAUGUUAUGUUGUUAAUAUUGUUUUAUAGAUUAUAAUUUUUUUAAUGAGGAUUUGUUAAUUAUAUAGUAGGACUUGUGCUGUUAUUGUGAUGUAUAGCCUAUUUUUUUAGUUGCUGGUUCACUAAUAGUGUUUCAUAGAAUGCAAUUAUUUUAUUGAUGUUUAGUUAAUUAUAUUAUAUGAUCUAUGCUGUACUUGUGGUGUUUUGUCAGGUUAUUGGUUUUAAGUUGCUUUGGGAUUCAUGUGAAUGGAAAGUGGUGUAUAAGUGCAAUCAAUCAAUCAAUCAAUCAAUCAGACACAAACAUUUAAGUAAAGACAAUGGCCGAUUUGUUCCUGACCCCUGCACAUUCACAAGCCCACUCCUCCCUGUUACACCCCAUUUUGCCCCCCCCACCUUACCACCACCCCUGUCCCACCCCCUUUUCCAGCCACUUCUGGCUCGUCACAAUGCGCAUGUGCGCGAUCCCACGUCAAUUGGACAUGUGUAAAUCGGUUGCCUAUACUUAACUAUUUUCAAGGGACGGGUGGUCUCCUGUGGAGACAGAAGGGACAGGAUCCUACCAUUCUUCCAUAAGGCUCUCCCACAAACUAGAACGCCAGUUUGGGACAGUGUCUAGGGUGAUUCAUUCACACUUUAAAAACAUGUAUUUUAGCAGUUCUGCAUCUCCAUUCUUUCUAUCAAUCAGUUAUAUAGAACCUACAGCUGCUACAUAAUAAGCAUUCUUAAGCACGCUUCCUACUUAAAUUUAACAUAAAAAGGAUUGGGAGUUUUGUUCACUUCAAAGGAGUUAUUCUGACAAAGGCCUGAAAACUGAAUUUGUGAAUCAAAAAAAGCUCCCCAGUGUCUUUCCCCCUGUUUCUAAUGCAAAGCAGUGUGAUAGAGCUGAUACUGUGACAAUCCUCAAACCUUUUCCUUCAAAAGGAAGUCAAAGGGAACUAUUCCAGAGUAAGAAUUUAGAGGAUUGCUGCCUAAAGCAGUUAAACUUAUUCUGUGAUGAAAAAGAAUUUAGAUUAGCAUAAAAGCAAGUAAAUGUUUAAGCAACCCAAGGAAACCUUGGGUACAACUGUAUCUGCAGUGUCUCAUUAUAAAGCCCUAGUGAAAGAAAUAUAAGAAAUAUAAAUGCACAUUCUCUCUUAUCUUGAACUCUGUUUAGAUUUUUCCCAAAGACCCAUCAAGACUCUGUUGACACAGACAGCGUUCCUUCUUUAUCUGGCAAAAAUAUAAGACUCACAGAGCAAUACUUGCAAUAGUCCCACCACAUCUGAACUACUGGAGCAAGUCAAACUACAGUGACUUUUGCUUGUAGCAAUGACAUGAUGGAUGUUUGCUUGACUCUCUCCCAAUGCAUUGAAGGAAUGCACAGAGAAGCUGAGGUUUUUCCUGCCUUCUGCCAUUGCCAUCUGCACAUGUCAUGCUGCCCACCAGUUGGAUCAUGUGAAGAUGCAACUGUGUCUGCACAGUUCUCUGUAACAGGGGAACACCAUCAAACACACUUUCAGUGUAUAAUGGGGAGGGAGGUGUUCCAGUAAACCAGGGGUCAGCAACCUUUUUCAGCCAUGGGCCGGUCCACCGUCCCUCAGACCAUGUGGUGGGCUGGACUAUAUUUGGGGGGGGGGGAAUGAACGAAUUCCUAUGUAUUUGGAAUCCUGCCUCUUAGUGACACAAUCAGUCCUUCACAGCUGUUUAUUUCUGUUCAAACUGCAGAUGCAGUGCAGAUAGAAGAUGUGGAUUUUGUUCAUUAUUUCAUAUAAUUGAAAUUAUUCUGUAGAAUGCAGUUUAAAAGCUGCUACCAUUGCAUCUAUGAUGAGUUACUUCCAAGUGUCUAUAGAGAAAUAAUAAUAAUAAUAAUAAUUUAUUAUUUGUACCCCGCCCAUCUGGCUGAGUCUCCCCAGCCACUCUGGGCGGCUUCCAACAAAGAUUUAAAAUACAUUAAAAUGUCACACAUUAAAAGCUUCCCUAAACAGGGCUGCCUUCAGAGGUCUUCUAAAAGUCUAGUAGUUGUUCUUCUCUUUGACAUCUGAUGGGAGGGUGUUCCACAGGGCGGGCGCCACUCCCGAGAAGGCCCUCUGCCUGGGUCCCUGUAGCUUUGCUUCUCUCAGUGAGGGAACUGCCAGAAGGCCCUCGGCGCGGGACCUCAGUAGAACGAUGGGGGUGGAGACGCUCCUUCAGGUAUACUGGACCGAGGCCGUUUAGGGCUUUAAAGGUCAGCACCAACACUUUCAAAUGUGCUCGGAAACAUACUAGGAGCCAGUGUAGGUCUUUCAAGACCAGUGUUAUGUGGUCUCGGCGGCCACUCCCAGUCACCAGUCUAGCUGCCGCAUUCUGGAUUAGUUGUAGUUUCUGGGUCACCUUCAAAGGUAGCCCCACAUAGGACUUCCGGGGUGGCGCCAUCGGUAAUGGCGGGCUCCCUCUGAUCCGGAGGGGCUGGCUCUACGGAAAUCGGGUCUGUUCCGCUACGGCGAAGCGGGGACCCUUUAAAAAAUCACAGGCGGGUGAAGCCUGUGACCGUGGGACUCAGCGGGCACCUUUCACGCCCCCCCAAUUUGUAAAGAAACCCAAUUACGGGCUCUGGAGCGAAGCGGGGCAAGCGGCGCGGUGCUGAGAGUCAACUGCUUCUUCCGUGGAGUGAAGCCGCAUAGCCGUUACCGGAGAGCGCUACCUUUUUCCUGUGACAAUCUGGCUACAAAAAACAACUACCCGUGAGUAGGUUAAAUUUGGACAAUUGGACUCUAAACAACGACCCGUGAGUAGAACGGAAAACUGGACUAAGAAAUUUCCUUAAUUUGGCACUGAAGCAGGAAGGUCUAAACAGGAAGUCAGCCUUCCGCUUUUUGUAGAAAGAUUAAAGCAAAGACAUGGCAAACUAGAGUUUAGUAAAUUGUUUGUAAAGGAUCAACUUUCAUCAUCUAAAACUACUGAACCCCCUUUGGAAGCAGGAGAAGAGGGGGAAUUUUUUCCCCCUGGACUGUUUAAACCUGCAGAAGAGUGUGUAAAGAAAAGCAAUUUUCCACCGUCUUGAACCUGGGAGCGGGGUGUCAGGACAGACGUUUUCGGAGUUCAUUGACUAUAGAUAAACGUUUUUGACAGACAGUUAAAAGAAGAGAAACAUAGUGAUUCCAUUGUUCUCCUUCACAGUUAAAAGGAAUAAAAUAUUGACAAAAUAUCUGAAAAAGGAAACUUUGUUGUUAGAUCUGCUUUAAAAAAAAAAAGAGAGAUGGAUACAAAUAGAAGUUCUUCCCCUAGAGGGAGCUUGUGAAACUGUUAUUAAAUCUGAACUGGGGAGCUUUGCAGCUGCAAUAGAUUAAGAUCGUGGGAUCAGACUUUGACCUUGCACAACAAUGUACUCGGAGGCUCUGGUGCGUGCUUUCUGUAAGACAAGUGCUUUAUUGGAACAGUUACAUGAGAAGACGGAUUUGAUGACUGUUGCGAUCAGAAAUUUUGGACAGGUAGUGGGUAUCUAUAUAGAACCCACUCAGGAAUCAAUUCAGGAGUGUGCUCUGACAGAUCAGAUGAGGGAAGAGGCUGUGGCUGGACCCCGGGAGGCAGAGAUGGAGGGAACUGUGGCCCAGCAGGAACAUGAGUUGUUGGAUCUGACGAAUGAACCUGGAAAAAGCCAGAUUUGGAGAGAUAGAGUCUUGUUUGGCUUGGAGAUGGGGGGCUGGAUAGACCCCCCUAUGCAGGAAUGUUUUGACUUUUCAAGUCUGGCGUUGGGCCGGAAGGAGUUUGGACUUGUGGGGGUCCUCAACUUUGGAGGGACCUUGAAACAUGCUUUUAAAUACCACAUGGAGUUCAGUGUGGACUAUGGAAAAGGGGCUGAUCUGUCGAGAAGGGACAAAAAUAUUGUCAAGCUGGAGUCUCCACGAGUGAAAGGAGCAGAAGACAAAGUAAAGUACAGGUAUAAAUAUGAAGAUGAUUUGCGGAAGGGACAUGGAAGAGACUUAAGGGCCUUGGACAUAAGGUUACCAGGUUAAUGAACUAGAUGGAUGGGAUAGAAAGGACUGUCAAAACCCAAGACCAGGAGGAAGAGACGUUGGAUGAAGAUUGGAAGAAAGUUUUUAAAAAUUCUAUUUAGGAAUGUUUUCUAAAAUUAAUGAGUAUUAGAAAAAUGUUGGAACGAAAUUAUUUGGCUUUAGCAGAAAUGUUAAAAAGAACUAUGUAAGAAUAUGCUAUGGUUAUGAGAAAUUGGUAUAAAUAAGAUUUAAGUUUUAAGUUUUAGGGUUUUUUAUGGUAAGAUAAGGCUAAAAUAGAUUAAGGCAAUUUAAUGACAGAAUAUUAUGAAAAAUGGAAAGGAUUUGCUGUGACAAUCAACAACUAGAAUACAAAAAAGGGAGGUGUGAGGAGGUCGAUGAAAUAAGGUAAUGACAGUUAAGGAUUUGGGAAUAUUGGAUCUGCUUUUAAAUCUUUGCGGUUUAUUUUUGCUUUCUGAUUUUGAUGUGCUAUGUGUUUUGUUUUUGCUUUUUGCUUUUGACUUUUAUCGAUUUGUAUUGUUUAAUUGUUAUUUGUUUUUUUCUUGUUUUCCCCCCUGUUUUUUUUGUAAUUUUAAAAUUCUCAAUAAACACCAUUUAAAAAAACAAAACAAAGGUAGCCCCACAUAGAGUGCAUUGCAGUAGUCCAAGCGGGAGAUAACUAGAGCAUGCACCACUUUAGCAAGACAGUCUGUGGGCAGGGAGGGUCUCAGCCUGCGUACCAGAUGGAGCUGGUAGACAGCUGCCCUGGACACAGAAUUGACCUGCGCCUCCAUGGACAGCUGUGAGUCCAAAAUGACUCCCAGACUGCGCACCUGCUCCUUCAAGGGCACAGUUACCCUAUUCAGGACCAGGGAGUCCUCCACACCCGCCCGCCCCCUGUCCCCCCAAAACAGUACUUCUGUCCAGCUAGCACCCUCGUCCUCAAUUUUUGCCUGUAUUCUCACUGAAAUAAGGUGGUUAAAUGUGAAUAUUGUGUUCAGCUUACUUCCGUUUUACUUCCAAAAUUUGCAUGGUUGGAGGAAUUGCCAGAUAAGGCUGGUUCAAAUUCUGAGAGUUCUAGAGGAUUGUCAUUUGUAAUCGGGUGACUCUUCCACUCUCAUUAUUCAACAGCUAAACAGGGGUGGAACUUGAAGUCUCAGACAAGUGGUGGAAUGAAAAAUCAAUUACCAAGUGAAAAAUGCUUUGGUUGUUUCCCAGUCAACGUUGCAAAGAAGUUUUGGUGAAAUGUCACACAUCAGAUAUUCCAUCUGCACUGAAAAUAGGGCAUGUUUUCUCGGCCAAGUGUAAUAAUUGAAAGUAUUCUACAUUUAUUUAAUCGUUUGCCUUUUUCUUCCCUGUCUGCCAGUGUACAUGUAACAUACUCCAAAUGACUUAAUUGCAUUAGAAGAUGUGUUCUGCAUUAGGCAGCAGCCUGUGGGCUUUCAUUGAAGAGAGACCCACAAAGAGCACAUUUAUUGCAGUUAUAACGCCAUGAAUUACAACUGCCGGUACUGGACCAGGGGUGUGGGGAUUUGUUAUGUUAGAACCAGCUAGUGUCCCUCCUCUCAGAUUUUGCCCAUGCUCUCACCAAAGGGAUGUGGUUUUGCUUUACUAUUAAAGUUUACUUUACAGCUUUAGCUGGAGAAGAUAUUUGAAGCCAAUGCAUUUCCAAACCUGGCCAUUUAAUUCCCUCAUGCAGCCAGAAUAUUCAAAAUGUCUUACGUAAGAGACAGGCACUUUCAUAGCUGUUAAACGUUACGUGGGGAAGCAAGUCUUCCAGUUUUCUUACCUCCAAGAGUUGGUGAAAUUCACUCUCAUUCCCUGUAGCAACUUUAAUGUUCUGGGUUCACCACUGUGUAGUAUUCACUUAAUCCUCAGAGACUGCAAAACUGAGAAAGACCAAGUGCUUUCUGUUGCUUUUACUGCUCAGUCGAAGUCCCUAUCAGUGAAAUAGACAUACAGUGGUGCCCCGCAAGACGAAUGCCUCGCAAGACGGAAAACUCGCUAGACGAAAGAGUUUUCCGUUUUGGAGGUGCCUCGCAAAACGAAUCUGCUAUGGGCUUGCUUCGCAAGACGAAAAUGUCUUGCGAGUUCCUGGUUUUUUUUUGCCUUUUCCCCCUCUUUUUCUAAGUCGCUAAGCCGCUUAUCUGCUUAUCCGAUAAGCUGAUAAACUGCUAAAAGCCGCUAAAAGCCGCUAAAAGCCGCUAAAAGCCGCUAAUAGCGCUAAUAGCGCUAAUCCGCUAAUCCGUCAAUGGGCUUGCUUCGCAAGACGAAAAAACCGCUAGACGAAGAGACUCCCAGAACGGAUUCUUUUCGUCUUGCGAGGCACCACUGUAUGGUAAUCUCCUCCAGUAUCCUGCAUAUGUGAUAAUACACUAGAAUGAUCAUUCCCAGCCAGAGGGGCUGUUCCAUAAAUUGAUGUCAAAAGGGGUUUGUGUUCUCAUUGAAUGGGGAAGGCUGCAGUAGUCCCAAGUGGAACAUGAUCUAGAAUGCGGGUGGAAAGCCGCACAUUUGUAAACAGUCCAUAGUUUAGCAUAUGAGACUAGGUGGGCAAGGAGGGUAAUAAGAGAUUAUUAUUUAUUGUAAAAGGGACGUGGGUGGCGCUGUGGGUUAAACCACAGAGCCUAGGACUUGCCAACCAGAAGGUCAGCGGUUCGAAUCCCCGCGAUGGGGUGAGCUCCGUUGUUCGGUCCCUGCUCCUGUCAACCUAGCAGUUCGAAAGCACAUCAAGGUGCAAGUAGAUAAAUAGGUACCACUCCGGCGGGAAGGUAAACGGCAUUUCCGUGUGCUGCUCUGGUUUGCCAGAAGCAGCUUAGUGAUGCUGGCCACAUGACCCGGAAGCUGUACGCCGGCUCCCUCGGCCAAUAAAGCGAGAUGAGCGCCACAACCCCAGAGUCAGUCACAACUGGACCUAAUGGUCAGGGGUCCCUUUACCUUUAUUUAUUGUAAAGAAGAAAAUAAUGCUCAGGUGAAAGAGCUUAGGGCAGCUUUGGUUGAUGUAUGAAGGCAUGUGAAAUCCAGCUGGCCCCUUUGCGGAGUCCUCCUGGCUUUGCAGCACUUUGCAAUGGCCACCCACAUUGCAAGCACCUAAGAAUAAGCCAUAAGCACCUCCCACUUUUGGCCAAUAGCCAUAGUUGUGCAGGAGGUAAUGUUGGCUGCCAGAACCUGCACCAUGAAUACUGUAGUGCAGCCAGCGGGGGUGAAACGACGGCCCUUCAUGGGGCUACCUUUGAAGGUGACCUGGAAAGUACAACUAAUCCAGAAUGCGGCAGCUAGACUGGUGACUGGGGGCGGCCACUGAGACCACAUAACACCGGUCUUGAAAGACCUACAUUGGCUCUCAGUACGUUUCCGAGAACAAUUCAAAGUGUUGGUGUUGACCUUUAAAGCCCUAAACGGCCUCGGCCCAGUAUACCUGAAGGAGCAUCUACACCCCCAUCGUUCUGCCCGGACGCUGAGGUCCAGCGCUGAGGGCCUUCUCGCGGUUCCCUCAUUGCGAGAAGCAAAGCUACAGGGACCCAGGCAUAGGGCCUUCUAGGUAGUGGCGCCUACCCUGUGGAACACCCUCCCAUCAGAUGUCAAAGAGAUAAACAACUACCUGACAUUCAGAAGACAUCUUAAGGCAGCCCUGUUUAGGGAAGUUUUUAAUGUAUGACAUAUUAGUGUAUUUUUGGUCUUUGUGGAAGCCGCCCAGAGUGGCUGGGGAAACCCAGCCAGAUGGGCUGGGUACAAAUAAUAAAUUGUUGUUGUUGGUCUCUAAACUCCCCUCAGCCCCAGCCAGCAGGGUCAAUGGUCAAUGGUAUUGGGAGAUACAAUCCGCAAUGUCCGAUAGGCCACAGAAGCUCCACUUCUGCUUCAUUGCAUGCUGAGAUUUAAGUCUGGGGGGAAAUAUGUGUGCGACAUCUGGAGUGCAACUAUAGAGGAUGACUGGAAGCAAUGGGCCUUGAAGUAUUUGGCAACACUUGCGCAAAUUAAAUCUGCAUCAUAGGGGGGCAAGGGAAGCAAGGAGAAACAAAAGCCCAUUUCUCUGUGCUCAAACAACCACAUCAACACCCCCCCCACUGUUUCCACAUUGAUCUUUCUCGUGGUUUCAGCCCCUAGAAUUGUACACAAGAAGAACAAACCUAUCCAUUCUUAAGGAAAUCAGCCCUGAGUGCUCACUGCAAGGACAGAUCAUGAAGCUGAGGCUCCAGUACUUUGGCCACCUCAUGAGAAGAGAAGACUCCCUGGAAAAGCCCCUGGUGUUGGGAAAGAUGGAGGGCACAAGGAGAAGGGGACGACAGAGGACAAGAUGGUGGGACAGUGUUCUCGAAGCUACCAGCAUGAGUUUGACCAAACUGCGGGAGGCAGUGGAAGACAGGAGUGCCUGGUGUGCUCUGGUCCAUGGGGUCACGAAGAGUCGGACACGACCCAACGACUAAACAACAACAACAAUUGUACACAGGAAAUAGAAGUUCUAAUUAAUGAGAGAACAUAGGGCUCGUUUACACUUCCAAUCCUAGAAACCAUGGGUCCAUGUGGUUUUCCGCUUGACCCACACUUUCUAGAAGAAGAAGAAGAAGACGACUUUGGAUUUGAUAUCCCGCCUUUCACUCCCUUUAAGGAGUCUCAAAGCGGCUAACAUCCUCCUUCCCCUUCCUCCCCCACAACAAACACUCUGUGAGGUGAGUGGGGCUGAGAGACUUCAAAGAAGUGUGACUGGCCCAAGGUCACCCAGCAGCUGCAUGUGGAGGAGCGGAGACGCGAACCCGGUUCACCAGAUUACGAGACUACCGCUCUUAACCACUACACCACACUGGCUCUCAAGGCACGAGUCCAAGCAGUUUCCCCCUUGCCCCACUCCUUUCCCAGGGAAAACCUGCUUUUUAGCUCUAAAUUGGAGCAAACAUCAAUCUGGAGAGAACCCGCGUUGCCAUUUGUUCCGACUGAGUGCUCAAGAGCUCUUUUCCCCGGAGAAAGCAGCCCUACACAAAGAAGUGUGCAUAAGCACUAACUUGAGAAGCACUUCAAACAGAGUUCUCUUAAAGUUUUCCCACUCAGCCUAUUAGUAUGUAUUAAUUUUUGGUGCGACUUUUUAACUUCCCUCAUUAUAAUAAUUGCUCUGCCUAAUGUGCUGGGAGAUCGCUGGAUUUUCAUAUUAUUGUUCAGACCAGGGUACAGAAACUACCUGCAGCCAUUUGACGUGUUUGCAUGAUGCUCUGCUGAUGUUUUUACAUCAAAUUCUUGGGUAGGUUUUGGAUUGGAUCCCUUCCAGCUGAUUUCUUGGAUGCCAACAAGCAAGAGGUGUUCUUUAUCCUUCCAAGUCAGUCUUACUCUGUCCAAAGCCAGAAAGAAAAGAUUGCUCUUUGUGUGGUUGUGUUGGGGUGUGCGUGUGUGGAGAGAAAAUCUGAAGUAGUUUUCCAGGUACAGUGGUACCUCGGGUUAAGAACUUAAUUCGUUCCGGAGGUCCAUUCUUAACCUGAAGCACCACUUUAGCUAAUGGGGCCUCCUGCUGCCGCCCCACCGCAGCCGCCCGAUUAUUGUUUUCAUCCUGAAGCAAAGUUCUUAACCCGAGGUACUAUUUCUGGGUUAGCGGAGUCUGUAACCUGAAGCAUCUGUAACCUGAAGUGUCUGUAAUCCCAGCAUUAGGGGAUGAUUAGAGUCUGCCUCUGCCUCUGUUUGUGCCAGUCACCUCUGUGCUCAAAUCAUGGGCUUCCCACGAGCAUGUGUUUGGGCACCAUAAGAACAGGUUGGGACAUGGGCCUGAUCCAACAGGCACUUACCAUAUUCUCAUGUUCUUAUGACCUUUGUGGCACCACAUACCGUAUUUUUUGCUCCAUAAGACACACCUGACCAUAAGAUGCACCUAGUUUUUAGAGGAGGAAAACAAGGAAAAAAAUAUUCUGAAUGAAACAGUGGAUGUAUGAUUUUUGUGGUUCAUGCUGUGGCCACAGACAUGAUAUGUGAUUUGACGGUGAGUUUGGGGUAGCCCAAUGCAAAAAUCCUGAGACUCCAUGGGGAUCCGUGCUUUGUAACUACAUUGUUGCACCAUCGUGGCCCCACAAAACAGUUGAUUUGUGGGGGUUUUUUGGUGCAGGUUGUAGCCAUGGACAUGCUGUGGGAUCUGAUGGUAAAUUUGGGGUGACCCAAUGCAAAAAUCCUGAGGAUCCAUGGGCUUUUACCUCCCCCCUUCCAGGCAGCCUCCUUUAUCUCUAGCGUCCCUUAUCUCCCUCCUGAUUGCUUAGCGACCGGCUGCUUCCUUUCAACACUCCCUUCCCUCUUGUUUGCCUUAAGUGUCUUUUCCUUAGCUGGAACAGUUUUUUUGCUCCUCCUUUUCUUCUAAUUCCUCUCCUCAUUGCUUUAGUCUUCCUGUCUCCUCUCCUUGCAAGUUCGCUGUCUUUAGCUCCCCGCUCCCAGGCAGUCUCGUUUAUUGCUAGCGUCCCUUAUCUCCCUCCCUGAUCGCUUGCCCAUUAGCGGCUUUGUUUCAACACCCACUUCCCUCUUUCAAAAAAAAGAGAGCAUGAUCUGCUUUUCGCCCCUGGGCAGUUCAGGACCACGCAUUUGCUCCAUAAGACGCACAGACAUUUCCCCUUACUUUUUAGGAAGAAAAAAGUGUGUCUUACGGAGCGAAAAAUACGGUAACUCUUUGGCAAUGGUGAUAGGUACACCAAGUGCCCCAUCCACACAUAACCGCCUCAGAAGUCCUCAAAACUCUGAGCCUGUGUGUCUCUGGUUUACCAACUGCACAAUGUCACUUCCAUGACGCCACCUGAGUGAAAUGCACAUGGAGAGGUUCUAGGUUCCCCAGCAAUCUUCCUUCUGUGUGGCAAAUGUCAGCUUGCCUCCGUUGGCAUCACUCGAGUCCUCGCCAGUUAAGAAUGGUGGCUGGGUGGGCAUGACCCAUACUAUGGCAGGCUGUAAUCUCUGGUCUCUGUUUGGCCUCAGUUCAGAAGUAACUUUCCUUCACUUGCAGCCUUUAUGAAAUGUACAUUGUUUUAUGUCCAACAACCAUCCUUUGUACACAGCAAUGAAUGAUCUGUAUAUGUGCACAAACUUAGGAAGUAGUUUGCUAAAAUUAACAUUUAGGAGGCAGGCAUCACUAGUUAUUUCACACGUUAUUAACUUAUAUUACAAUUCAAAUAAGCUUACAGCUGGCAAAAGGAAGUCUCUUUUGUAAAGUGAUCUCAAACAUAAUAGGCUUAAUCAGAGAUAAAUUAAAUUAAGCAGCCAUGCAUACGGCAGCAUAUUAGCACUGAGUAGGUAUUAAAUACACUUUCUGCUAUCAGUUGCACAAGCGAGGAUUGUAGGCAAACAGAAGAUAACAGGCUCCAGUAAAUAAAGUUUGUUAGAGAAGCCCUAUUCCUGACAACACCUUUUUUCUUCUUCUUCUUCUCAAUAUGUAGCAGGGUCUUUGCAACUAAUACCGAUGCUCCCUUGUAUCUCCAGCUAUGCUCAAACUUCACUCCCAGGCAAUUAGCCAAAGGCAGAGCAGACAGAACUAAUGAAUACCUAGACAACAGAUGUUCAGCAUGUUUCCUGAAUGGGAAUUUUUUCCAAAGCAGUUUUUUAAAAUGCAUGAACGAGUCAUAGCUACUGAUGUGGAAGAUGAUCAUGGCAAUUUGCAAUUGUUCUGAAAAGGGACUUAAUGAUUAAGCCUUUGCAAUGCAAAUAGUCCUAGGGGUUGGGAGAUCCCCUUUAUGGAUCCGUCCUCAAAUCCAAGCUAUGGCAAGGGAAAGGGGCUGCUGCCAUGUGAAGCUGCUGCCAUCUGAAUUGGUUUAUCACUCCCAGCAUUGCGCGUUUGGCCAAGCACUGCAGCCCUCUAGACGGCCUUUGCUAUGAUUUCUUCUUUUAACAAGAGAUGUCAGAGAUGGAACACGGGACCUUUUGUGUUCUAUGUGCCACAGGGUUAUUAGCUUAUUGUGUCUGCUGUGGACAAGCUUCACAGAUAUAAAUAUGCUACUCCAAAUGAGAAGGAUUUAUAGAUUUAGGCCGUCGUGACUACAGGCAACUCCUAGUUUGCGUGGGAGUUGCGUUCUGACACACUACGCAUGUCAGUGGGGCUGGUAUAAGCCUGCCCCAUUCUGCCCCCUUCCAGGGCCGAAAACAGUUUGUGUAUUGGUGGUUGUGUGUGUGCUGGGUGCACACACACGAGCCUUGCCUGUAUUGUUGUUGUUGUUUAGUCGUUUACUCGUGUCUGACUCCUCAUGACCCCAUGGACCAGAGCACGCCAGGCGCUCCUGUCUUCCACUGCCUCCCGCAGUUUGGUCAAACUCAUGCUGGUAGCUUCGAGAACACUGUCCAACCAUCUCCUCCUCUGUCGUCCCCUUCUCCUUGUGCCCUCCAUCUUUCCCAACCUCAGGGUCUUUUCCAGGGAGUCUUCUCUUCUCAUGAGGUGGCCAAAGUAUUGGAGCCUCAGCUUCAUGAUCUGUCCUUCCGGUGAGCACUCAGGGCUGAUUUCCUUCAGAAUGGAUAGGUUUGAUCUUCUUGCAGUCCAUGGGACUCUCAAGAGCCUCCUCCAGCACCAUAAUUCAAAAUUGCCUGUAUUACGGACUGUUAAAGAAUCAUAGAAUUGUAGAGUUGGAAUGGACACCAGUGGUCAUGUAGCUGAACCCCUUGCAAGGGGCAGAGGAAGGGGGGUACAGUGGGGUGGACUGGCCCAGGUGUCACCACUGGGGGGUGGGGUGACAAAAUGCUGGGCAGCAUUCACUGUGGGGCCUGCAGGGCACCCAAAGAGGAUUAAAAUGGAGAGGCAAUGCUGAUACAAUGGCUGUCCUCCUCUCUGUGACAUUUCACAGGUUAGGGGGCAGCUGACAUCACAGGUGCAGAGCGAUCGCCACGGAUGCUGAUGGAGGCAGCAAUGGCAUCUCCUUGCUUAGUUAGAGCAUCUUUUUGUGAGAAAGAACGAGACAUAGCAUCACUCAGGCCUUCCUGACAGGAAAAAUACAUGCGUGGCAGGAUUCAGGCAGCUUGCCUUGCUCAUUCAUCCAUCUCUUGGAAACCUAUCAGUUGUGCAUUGAGAGCUGCUAAAAGUUCCCGAAUGUGACCUUAAAAUCUUUGGAAAACAUCUGACAUUCUGUUGCGUUGUGCACACUUAAAGCUCAGUGUAAGGUGACAAGAGCAUUGAGCUGCCCACAGAGCAAAUUGUGUAAGUAAUCUUUUAUCUGUGCUGAGCCACAGGAACAAUAAUUGGAAAAUUAAAGUGCCUGUGAACUAUGCAACGUUUUGAAAUGAUUAAUGAAGUCAAAGCUAUGCAACUAUUUCUGUCAACAUGCACUUCAGACAACAUGCACUUCAGAAAACUGUAGAGAAAGAGUUGCAUUCUGUUUAGCGCUUAUUUGCCUUGAAAAUUCCCCACUUAAAAUUAUUCACAAACACUUAAAUUAUUUAACUGGUGACCUGCCUUAUUUCACCCUAAUGUAGAAGGAAACCCUAGCAAUGCUAAUUACAGUAUAUCAGCUGUCGAUGUUACAGAGUAAAAGUCAAAUCAGCAGUCAUUUUUGCAUGGUCUGCUCAGUACUGUGGCAACAACAGAUCAAACAAUGUGAAACAAGAUAAUCCUGGGACACCAUUAAAUACUUGCAUUAAAUACUGGUGAAAUAUUUUGGCCCACCCACCCACAAUACUCUGUUGCUGCUGUAUAUUAUUAAUUAACAAUAUAUGGCAAAUUUAAAUAAAUAUAUCUGUCACAAGAGGGCCAGUAGGAAGUUGAUUUCCAUACUGAAAUGUCUUCAUGAUCCAGGAAAGGUCCUAAAACAGAUAAUGGAACAACUGGUCUGUGAGCACUUAGAAAAGGAUGCUGUGAUUAUUAAGUCCCAGAAUGCAUUUCUCAAAAAACAGUCAUGCCAGACAAGUCAUCCUUUCUUUCUUUCUUUCUUUCUUUCUUUCUUUCUUUCUUUCUUUCUUUCUUUCUUUUUGAUAGAGUAACAAGUUUGGUGGAUCAGGGGAAUGCUGCGUCCAGUAAGGGUUUUGACAAAUUUCCCAUGAUAUUCUUGUGGAGGAGGAUGUAAAAUGUAGGCUGGAUGACGUAGCUGUUAGAUGGAUUUGUAACUGGUUGAAUGACUGGACCCAAAGAAUGCUCAUUAAUGGUUCCUCGUCAUCCUGGCAAAUCUGACAAGUGGGGUGCUGCAGGGUUCUGUCCUGGGUCAGUUGCUGUUCGACGUCUUUAUAAACGACUUGGGUUAAGGAUUUGGGGGUGCUCAUCCAAUUUGCAAAUGACACCAAACUGGGAGGGGUAGCCAGUGCCAUGGAAGACAUAAUUGGGAUUCACGUUGAACUUAAUAGAUUGGAGAACUUAUCCAGAACUAUCAGAAUGAAUUUCAGUAGGCACAAAUGUCGGGAUCUACACUUAGUAAGGAAAAACCAACUGCACAAAUAUUAAGAUGUGGGACUCCUGGCUUACCAAUAGUACAUGUGAAAAUGAUCUGGAGGUGUUAGUAGGCCACCAACUUAGCAUGAAUCAACAGUGUGAUGGAAAAAGAUAAAGGUAAAGGGACCCCUGACAGUUAGUUCCAGUCGCGGACGACUCUGGGAUUGCUGCGCUUAUCUCGCUUUAUUGGUCGAGGGAGCCGGCGUACAGCUUCUGGGUCAUGUGGCCAGCAUGACUAAGCCGCUUCUGGUGAACCAGAGCAGCACACAGAAACACUGUUUACCUUCCUGCUGGAGCGGUAUUAUCUACUUGCACUUUGAUGUGCUUUUGAACUGCUAGAUUGGCAGGAGCAGGGACUGAGCAAUGGGAGCUCAUCCCGUUGUGGGGAUUUGAACCACCGACCUUGUGAUCGGAAAAGCAUUAGCAAAAAGCUAGUGCUAUUCUAGUCUACAUCAACAGAAGUGUAGUGUCCAAAUCAAGGGAAGGAAUGGUACCGCUCUAUUCUGUCUUGGUCAGACCACACCUGGAGUACUGUGUCCAGUUCUGGGCGCCUCAAUUUAAGAAGGAUAUUGACAAGCUGGAACAUGUGCAGAGGAGGGCAACCAAGAUGAUCAAGGGUCUGGAAUCUAAGCCUCAUCAGGAACAGUUGAGGGAGCUGCAUAUGUUUAGCCUAGAGAAGAGGAGACUGAGAGUAGAUAGAUUGUUGUCAUUUAGUCGUGUCUGACUCUUCGUGACCCCAUUGACCAGAGCACGCCAGGCACUCCUGUCUUCCACUGCCUGGUCAAACUCAUGCUGGUAGGUUUGAGAACACUGUCCAACCAUCUCGUCCUCUGUCGUCCCCUUCUCCUUGUGCCCUCCAUCUUUCCCAACAUCAGGGUCUUUUCCAAGGAGUCUUCUCUUCUCAUGAGGUGGCCAAAGUAUUGGAGUCUCAGCUUCAGGAUCUGUCCUUCCAGUGAGCACUCAGGGCUGAUUUCCUUAAGAAUGGAUAGGUUUGAUCUCCUUGCAGUCCAUAGGACUCUCAAGAGUCUCCUCCAGC